GCCAUGAUGCCCGAGUGGUCUAAGGGGAUUGACUUAAGAUCAAUUGUACGCUGUACGCGUGGGUUCAAACCCCACUCAUGGCA